UCUUAUUUCUUACUUAUUUUCUUAUUUCUUACUAUUUACCUGGUAUUAACUGGCAAGCCUGGCUUUUAUUUGGCAACCUUAUUGUCUGAACUCUGCACAUCUCCAGAGACGGGGAGUUGGCAGGGCCAGCAGUGAGUGUCUACGGAGCUGAGAACUGCCGUGGAGACCGUGGAGACCACAAGUCACUGUCCGUUAGUGACAAAAGCCACACACGUUCUGAGAGGAUAUUUUAGGUCUCCUGGAAGAGUCACACCAUGGCUACCUUGGAAUAAAAAGAAAUCAGGCUGACUCCAAGAAGCAAGUGUUUUUGGCCAAAUGACUACACCUUGGAAUUGCAGCACUUGACCCGAAGGCAGCAUUAGUCUUUUCCAGGCCUGAUAUCUGACGAAGCUAUCACUGGGAAGUGAUGUCCCAAGGAAGGUCAUACCCACAGCACAGGGACCUGAAGCGGCCAGCAGGUCAGCACAGUGUCCUGCUGCGGGAGAGGACGCCUUUCCUUCUUCUGAAAACACUAAGGUUAUAACGUUUAUAAUGUGUAUACAUCUUUUCACAAUUUUACUUACUUUCUGAGUAGGGUUUUACUAUCUAGCUCUGACCGUCCUGGAACUCACAGAGCUCUGCCUUCCUCUGCCUCCCGAGCAUGGGGUUAGACGCAUGUGCCAUUACACCCAGCUGCACAAAAACUUUCUACGGAUACAUUCUAUAUGUAAUUUUGCCUUGAUGACCCCACUCUACGCUGUAGUACUUUUAUGACUAUGGUUUAGCCAGUGAUGUCUACCUUAGGAAAGCACCCCUCAAGCAACACUGCAUUGGAAGCCUCUUCCAUCAACACCAUCCUUAAAAUUGGGUGGUGCCUAUUUGAUAGGCUGGGAAUUUCCCAGGAUUCCCUCCUUGUGCCCGACUCACCUGCAAAGGGCCUCUCUACUCCUAGUAGACCAUCAAGACUAGGAGAUGGGGAUGAACACGGGGUUUACAUUGCAGCGUUCAGCUGCGUUCCCAGUCGACUCCGUCAAUGGUCCCCGUGCCUC